ensembl:lncRNA
GCCUGGAGGAAGGAGAGAACACAUCUCAUGUCAGGUGAUCCUUAGAGGCUUCAGCAGAGGCAGGACCAUGUGAAGUGGGCAUUGGGUGAGCUGGAAUGUCUUUUACAGGCAGGGUAGCUGAAUGGUUAGAAGUAUGGGCUCUGGGCUCUGACUUCCUGCGCUUGAUUCCUUGUGCUGGCUUGCUGGCUUGCUGGCUAUGUGACUAUGGGCAUGUUACUUAACUCUUCUGAGUCUUCUUUUUUUUAAAAAGAGAAUAAUGGCACUACCUAUCACGCAAUGUUGGAGAGAUUAAAUGAGACAACACACAUGAAACUAUUAGAGCUGUGCUUAGACUGGAGUCAGCAUUCAGUAAGUUAUUACCAUUGGUUAUUAAUAUUACUUUUUUUUUUGGUCUUUUUGUCUUUUUAGGGCUGGACCUGUGCCAUAUGCAAGUUCCCAGGCUAGGGGUCGAAUUGGAGCUGUAGCUACUGGUCUGCACCGCAGCCACAGCCACAGCCAUGCUAGAUCCGAGCCGCAUCUGUGACCGACACCACAGCUCAUGGCAACGCUGACUCCUUAACCCUCUGAGCGAAGCCAGGGAUCGGACCUGCAUCCUCAUGGAUGCUAGUCAGAUGCACUUCCGCUGAGCCAUGAUGAGAACUCCUCAUGUUACUUUAACCAGCAGAGGAUGGGGUGGGGUGUGUUUGCGAAAGAGGUGGUGACCGCAGGCUGAAGCAGUGUGUGAACAGUGGGGGGAGGACAGGCACCCACUUCGUUAACAGCGAUGUGGUCUGUCUGGAGCCCAGGUCACCCGGGGUCCCUUCUUCUAAGUCUGUAUUUUCCAAGGAGCCUUUUCUUGAAAGAGGUUUCCCCCAAAGGGAAAAGGAACCUCUUUCAAGAAAAGGAACCUCUUUCAGGAAGCAUAUCCUGGCCUGCCUAACCAUGUUUCCUGAGCAGAUUGGCCUUCUGGUUUAUCAAUCAGGGUCUUGAGCAUUUGGUUGGCAUGAGUCAGUCCCCCAGAGUCUCAUCACCCCUGAGGGAGCUGAUAAAAUCAAAUUCCUGAAUGUGCAGAGCUGAAGAACAGAUCUUGGACCUGCAGUGACCCCUUGGAGGUGCAGGCACUGUGAGGCCCAGCUACAAACAGGGGACUGGCCCACCUCUGUCUCUCCUUACUCUAACUUUUAGACCAUGUGGCAAGCUGAACCCCAAAUAUGCGGUGGGACUGGGCAGAGCACAGCAUGCGGAAGGAUGAUGCCCAUUAAAUGCUUCCUGAACUUUGCUGAUGGUGAUGCAGCAGGCAGUGGACUAGGGCAGAGGUGUCAUGCCCAGGAAGCAGGGCUCUGGGGUCUGGUCCCUUCUCCUACUUAACUGUGUGCCUUCAAACAAAUCCUUUACCCAAUCCUCACAUGCCUUAUCUGUGCAAUGAAGAUAAAAUCUUUCCCUGCUGAAGGCAGACCAUGGCUGAAUGCCCUCUUGAUUUCUCUUCUGGGUCCAACACUUAUGCCCUAACAAGAUGACUCCAGCAAGGACUGAGGAUAUUAUGGCUCAGCAUAUUUCCACCGUGUGGAAACCAAGGUGACGUUCAGGGGGAUUCUACCUUCUCCUGCCAUCUGGUUGUUUCGCAUUUGCUUUCCUUGUUGGUCCAUAUGACGCGAAGCGAGGUUGUGUGGGUGGGGUGUUCAUGGUGGGGAAAGUGGAUGGAUCCAAUUCUCAUGUAUGGUCAACUAUGCCCAUCACAUCAUGGAGCAUAUUAAAGGGGCUCGAUAAACACUUGUUAAAUUGAAUUGAAUAUUACUGCCUAACAACCAAUUAAUUCAAAUUGCAUUCUUAUGCUAAAGACAUUACUUGCCUCAUCUACAGAGGGGCAUUAUGAAGAUGAAAACAAAUGAAAAGUGAAACUUGUUAUUCUGAAGAGCAGAGGAUGCUUUAUGAGGGCUAUUAGCUCUGUUCCAGAGUUGUAUUUACCUAAUCAUGACUCAUGUUAGUUUAUUCUGGGAUGUUUUAUCAUUUUGAAAUGAUCACCCCCUGCCUCCCCAACUUCAGGAGAUAGAAAAUUAGAACAUUAAUUUUGUUUUAAAAUCCAGCCUCCCACAGUCUUAUGGGCAAGAAUUAGGGGUGUUAAUACUGCAGAGUUGUCCUUCAUGUCAUUUGGAUAAAUGCUGCUCACAUCUUUAUUCUGUCUUUUGUCAAUAAAGGAUCCAUGUUUUUUUAGUUCCUGUCGUAGCUCAGUGGUUAACAAAUCCGACUAGGAACCAUGAGGUUUCGGGUUCGAUCCCUGGCCUUGCUCAGUGGGUUGAGGACCCGGUGUUGCCAUGAGCUGUGGUGUAGGUAGCAGGUGCAGCUCGGAUCUGGCGGGGCUGUGGCUGUGGUGUAGGCCGGCAGCUGUAGCUCCAAUUAGACCCCUAGCCUGGGAACCUCCAUAUACCACGGGUGUGGCCCUAAAAAAA